UACGUAGGGUGCAAGCGUUGUCCGGAAUUAUUGGGCGUAAAGAGCUCGUAGGCGGUCUGUCGCGUCUGCUGUGAAAACUCAGGGCUUAACCCUGAGCUUGCAGUGGGUACGGGCAGACUAGAGUGCGGUAGGGGAGACUGGAAUUCCUGGUGUAGCGGUGAAGUGCGCAGAUAUCAGGAGGAACACCGGUGGCGAAGGCGGGUCUCUGGGCCGUAACUGACGCUGAGGAGCGAAAGCAUGGGGAGCGAACAGG
rnacentral:rRNA from 1 species